rnacentral:rRNA from 1 species
UAAAAUUUGCUCCUUAAUAUAAGGGAGGAUAGUUUAGGGCUAGCUCGCACUCCCGGGGCGUCUUACACUCAUUGCGAGUAAAGGCGCACCAAGAGCGUACACGUUGGGACCCGAAAGAUGGUGAACUAUGCAAGGCCAGGAUGAAGCCAGGGGAAACCCUGGUGGAGGUCCGUAGCGAUUCUGACGUGCAAAUCGAUCGUCAGAGUUUUGUAUAGGGGCGAAAGACCAAUCGAACUAUCUAGUAGCUGGUUCCCUCCGAAGUUUCCCUCAGGAUAGCUGGUGCUAAUGAUGACAAGAGUCUCAUCUGGUAAAGCGAAUGAUUAGAGGGCUUGGGGCCGAAACGACCUCAACCUAUUCUCAAACUUUAAAUGGAUGAGAGCCUUGGCUUGCUUAAAUA